rnacentral:rRNA from 1 species
CGAAGGGGGCUAGCGUUGUUCGGAAUCACUGGGCGUAAAGCGUGCGCAGGCGGCUAUGCAAGUCAGGGGGUGAAAUGCCAAGGCUUAACCUUGGAACUGCCUUUGAAACUGCAUAGCUAGAGUCCCGGAGGGGUUAGUGGAAUUCCUAAUGUAGCAGUGAAAUGCGUAGAUAUUAGGAGGAACACCAGUGGCGAAGGCGGCUAACUGGACGGGUACUGACGCUCAUGCACGAAAGCGUGGGGAUCAAACAGGAUUAGAUACCCUGGUAGUCCACGCCCUAAACGAUGGGUGCUAGCCGUUGGGAGUUCAGCUCUCGGUGGCGUAGCUAACGCGUUAAGCACCCCGCCUGGGGAGUACGGUCGCAAGACUA